GUCUGCCUGGUUCAGUCAGUAGAGCAUGUGACUUUAGAUCUCAGGGUCAUGGGCUCGCACCCCAUGUUGGGUG
rnacentral:tRNA from 1 species